GUUAGAAGAAGCUUUAAAAGAAGCGAAUAUCACAUUUGAUGAUAUUGAUGCAAUUGCUGUAACAGAAGGACCUGGUUUAGUAGGAGCACUUCUAAUAGGGGUAAAUGCAGCGAAAGCAGUGGCAUUUGCACAUGAUAUCCCUCUAGUUGGUGUUCAUCAUAUCGCUGGCCACAUUUAUGCGAACCGUUUAGUAAAAGAAGUUCAAUUCCCAUUACUAUCACUUGUUGUAUCUGGUGGGCAUACAGAACUUGUUUAUAUGAAAGAACAUGGUUCGUUUGAAGUAAUUGGUGAAACACGAGAUGAUGCAGCAGGAGAAGCAUAUGAUAAAGUAGCUCGUACGUUAUCUAUGCCAUAUCCAGGGGGUCCUCAUAUUGAUCGCCUUGCACAUGAAGGGAAANAAGGCUGAGCUGUGAUGGGGAAGCUCCUUAUGGAGCGAAGUCUUUGAUUCCCCGCUGCCAAGAAAAGCUUCUAGCGAGAUAAAAGGUGCCUGUACCGCAAACCGACACAGGUAGGCGAGGAGAGAAUCCUAAGGUGUGCGAGAGAACUCUGGUUAAGGAACUCGGCAAAAUGACCCCGUAACUUCGGGAGAAGGGGUGCUUUCUUAACGGAAAGCCGCAGUGAAUAGGCCCAAGCGACUGUUUAGCAAAAACACAGCUCUCUGCGAAGCCGUAAGGCGAAGUAUAGGGGGUGACACCUGCCCGGUGCUGGAAGGUUAAGGAGAGGGGUUAGCGUAAGCGAAGCUCUGAACUGAAGCCCCAGUAAACGGCGGCCGUAACUAUAACGGUCCUAAGGUAGCGAAAUUCCUUGUCGGGUAAGUUCCGACCCGCACGAAAGGUGUAACGAUUUGGGCACUGUCUCAACCAGAGACUCGGUGAAAUUAUAGUACCUGUGAAGAUGCAGGUUACCCGCGACAGGACGGAAAGACCCCGUGGAGCUUUACUGUAGCCUGAUAUUGAAUUUUGGUACAGUUUGUACAGGAUAGGCGGGAGCCAUUGAAACCGGAGCGCUAGCUUCGGUGGAGGCGCUGGUGGGAUACCGCCCUGACUGUAUUGAAAUUCUAACCUACGGGUCUUAUCGACCCGGGAGACAGUGUCAGGUGGGCAGUUUGACUGGGGCGGUCGCCUCCUAAAGUGUAACGGAGGCGCCCAAAGGUUCCCUCAGAAUGGUUGGAAAUCAUUCGUAGAGUGCAAAGGCAUAAGGGAGCUUGACUGCGAGACCUACAAGUCGAGCAGGGACGAAAGUCGGGCUUAGUGAUCCGGUGGUUCCGCAUGGAAGGGCCAUCGCUCAACGGAUAAAAGCUACCCCGGGGAUAACAGGCUUAUCUCCCCCAAGAGUCCACAUCGACGGGGAGGUUUGGCACCUCGAUGUCGGCUCAUCGCAUCCUGGGGCUGUAGUCGGUCCCAAGGGUUGGGCUGUUCGCCCAUUAAAGCGGUACGCGAGCUGGGUUCAGAACGUCGUGAGACAGUUCGGUCCCUAUCCGUCGUGGGCGUAGGAAAUUUGAGAGGAGCUGUCCUUAGUACGAGAGGACCGGGAUGGACGCACCGCUGGUGUACCAGUUGUUCUGCCAAGGGCAUAGCUGGGUAGCUAUGUGCGGAAGGGAUAAGUGCUGAAAGCAUCUAAGCAUGAAGCCCCCCUCAAGAUGAGAUUUCCCAUAGCGUAAGCUAGUAAGAUCCCUGAAAGAUGAUCAGGUUGAUAGGUUCGAGGUGGAAGCAUGGUGACAUGUGGAGCUGACGAAUACUAAUAGAUCGAGGACUUAACCAU
rnacentral:rRNA from 1 species